GUAGGUGGCAAGCGUUGUCCGGAAUUAUUGGGCGUAAAGCGCGCGCAGGCGGGUCCUUUAAGUCUGAUGUGAAAGCCCACGGGCUCAACCGUGGAGGGUCAUUGGAAACUGGGGGGCUUGAGUACAGAAGAGGAAAGCGGAAUUCCAAGUGUAGCGGUGAAAUGCGUAGAGAUUUGGAGGAACACCAGUGGCGAAGGCGGCUUUCUGGUCUGUAACUGACGCUGAGGCGCGAAAGCGUGGGGAGCAAACAGGAUUAGAUACCCUGGUAGUCCACGCCGUAAACGAUGAGUGCUAAGUGUUAGGGGGUCUCCGCCCCUUAGUGCUGCAGCUAACGCAUUAAGCACUCCGCCUGGGGAGUACGGCCGCAAGGCUG
rnacentral:rRNA from 1 species